rnacentral:rRNA from 1 species
AUACGAAGGGAGCUAGCGUUGUUCGGAAUCACUGGGCGUAAAGCGCACGUAGGCGGGCUGGUCAGUUGGGGGUGAAAUCCCAAGGCUCAACCUUGGAACUGCCUUCAAUACUGCCAGUCUACGAGUCCGGGAGAGGUGAGUGGAAUUCCUAGUGUAGAGGUGAAAUUCGUAGAUAUUAGGAAGAACACCAGUGGCGAAGGCGGCUCACUGGCCCGGUACUGACGCUGAGGUGCGAAAGCGUGGGGAGCAAACAGGAUUAGAAACCCCAGUAGUCC